rnacentral:antisense_RNA from 1 species
AUUUAUUAUAGCCAUGAAAUGCUCUGCUCUCUUCUCUUUUCCUUGCUGUCCCCGGGGCUGGAGGAGCACGGGCCUCCCCGGGAGUGGGCUUCAGCCUCCCUGGACUCCUGUCUCCUUCCAAGGGCUGGGCCUGGGGGACCAGAAGCAAGAGUCCCCAGAGCGUCCAGGAUUUUUGGUUUCAAACCAAUUUCCUGCUGACCAGAAUGAAAUGGAGCCACAUUCCAGCACCAUGCACCUGCUGAUGUCCUGCAAGUCAGGGACCUUCUCUGCCCCUCUUUUGCUCCGCUGCAGGAGGGGGAAGUUGGGAAUGUGCUCCUCUGGAGUCCCAUCACCUCCAGCCAGCCACUGUCCCUGUCUCCCCAAAACCUCCUCGUUGUCCCUCCUCUGUCCUCCUCCUCCUCCAUCUGCCUUCGCCCUGCUCUCCUCAUUUUCACCUGAGGUUCAUGCUGCUUCCUCACCUCUUGUCCUGUUUCUCCCUUCUCUCUGCUCCCUCCUUUGAUCUUGCUAUUUUGUUUCUCUUUCCCUUCCUCUCUUCUCCUCCCUCCCCUUCCUCCCUGCUCCCUGCCUCAGCUUCUCAGUCUCUCUCCAUUCUUCCUCUAGCUUCCUUCCCUCCCCAGAAGACCCAGCCCUUCCUAGAGCCCCAGAAGCCAGGGUUCAUGCCCCAGCUCUCUACCCGCACAUGCUGUGCAACCCUGGGCCAGUCACUGGUCUGUUGGGCCUCAGUUCAACAGAUGGCUGUCUUGGCGAUGUGAGAUCAUAGGGUGGAAGCACCCAGAAUGGUGCCAGGCACUCAAAAAUUUUUUUCUUUUCCUUUUUAAGGAACUACUAACCGUGAG